rnacentral:tRNA from 1 species
GUGGUGUUAGCUCAGUAGGAUAGAGCGAUUUCCUCCUAAGAAAUAGGUCGCUGGUUCGAUUCCAGCACACCACA